AUGGCGAAAGACAACGACAACAACGCUCCACCGGCGACCAGCUCCGACUCCAUGAGCUCCGGCAAGGACAACAAGGGAUCGAAGGCCAGCAGCCGUCUGGUCCUCGGCGGCGCUAUUGACAAGGGGAAGGGCGUCCCCAAGGUUGAAGAAGAAGAAGAGGGUUGUAGAUCUAAGGGUAAGAUCAUGACAGCGCCGGUCGUAGCUGCUCGCAGAUCAGGCGGCCGCCGCGGCGACAGAGAACUGCACAUUAUCACGGAGCGCGAAAGGCGGAGGCGGAUGAGCGAGAUGUUCACCAAGCUGCAUGGCCUCCUCCCCACCCUCCCCGACAAGGUUGACAAGUCGAGCAUAGUGAUGGAAGCCAUACACUACAUCAAGAGCCUGGAGGGCACGGUGAGCGAGCUGGAGAAGCAAAAGCUAGAGAGGGAUUUCGCACGAGGCAAUCCCGCCGACGCAGCCAAUGGCGGGGUCUCCUCUUCAGUGGCAGCGGCCAUGCCUAUGGCCAUGGCGACGCCGGUGACAGGGGCGUCGGCUGGCGGGAUCUGGCACACUGGGGCCGCGCCAGCGCCAUCCAUGUCUUUGGUGGGCGCGGUGACCGCGGCGCCGGCACCGGUGCCGCUCCAGACGUGGUCAGGGCCGAACGUCGUCCUGAGCCUGUCCGGCAACAACGCGUACAUCCACAUGUCCGUGGGGCGGCGUCCAGGCGUUCUCACCAUGGUGACGGCCGUGCUGGAGAAGCAUGGUAUCGACGUGGUCACGACGGGGAUCUCGUCUGACCAUUCCCAGUGCAUGUACACCAUCCAAGCUCGUAUAAAUGGAAUGAGGAACCAGUUCGGAGAUAAUGUGGCGUCUGACGACAUAUAUAAGCUGGCGGUGUCAGAGAUAAUGGUUUGGCUCUCUGAAUAA
rnacentral:rRNA from 1 species